AACAGUGUGGUGCAUUCGUUUGUCCUCACGAAGUUGAUACAUUAGAGCUUAGUUACAACCGUCACACAUCCCACGAAGCUUUGCUGUGCGAGGUGACGUGCCACAUAAUCGUCUUUCCGUGUCUUCGGUCACCAGCUCGCCCGUGCCCUAACUCUUCUUUCAGUUAUCGUUUAUGUGCCGUCGAAGUAUCUAUGUCCGACGACGACAGCCUGCCGCUUGGAGCAGACUUGGGAGGCCUGCAGCAAGGAGCUAUAUAUGUACCUGAUCCGUACAACUUUGAUCCCCCAUUGCCAGCAAGGGAACGACGUGAUAGCCAGCAACAGGAAAGCCAGGAGUCCCAAGUCCAAUGCACAUGUGGAAAUUGCCCCCAGGAGGUCGGGCAAUGCUGCAGGGACAUGCCAAAAAUCACACAAAAAAACUUGGGAAGGUGUGUCACAGAAAAUGAACUUUUUCUGCUCGUAUGUCUGGAUGUGCGACUGCUGAACAUAGCGUACGACCAGCUGAAAUUUUUUCGCCCAACAUAUUUGGAGCCAGCAGCUCGGGAUCGGAACAAACGGUACAGGUACACGGCAUACAGCCAGUUCGUCUGGUGGAUUUGGGGACGACUGGGCAGGUUUCGCCGCGUCAGGCUCCCGUGCUGUGUGGUGGCCAGGAUAAGAAAAGAAUUCCCAUCGACCACAUACACGGGCUUCCACUAUGCUUGAUCGAACCGGGUCCUGUGGGCCAACACCGCUGCUUCCUUGUCUGGCCUUUGUGCAACGCUGCACAGAGGUGGUCGACGAGGACGCGGCCCGUUCGCAGCCACAGCCUGCUGGUAGGUCCGGGAAGCCUUGGCCAACUCCAGGCAGGAAUUGAGGAGCCUCUGGACGUAGUCUGAGUAAGAAAGUGUGAUAGUCAAGCUGCAGCCAAUGUCUGAAUAAAAGUGUCUGUAUUUAC